UUCGGCGCUCCCCAGCUGCUUAUUACAUCGUCCCUAGAAGGUCUUAGGCCAGAGUGCCAUCACGCUGUCACCGUUUCCUCUGUGGUCUGCACAGCCAGACCUGAAGAUCUGCCCAUUCUCUGAGGGUUCUUUUUUAAGUGUUCUAUAUUCUGUUUUUGAAAGGGCGCCACCAGCAACAAAACCCCCAUUGGAAUAGGGACAGUUGUUCCGUAAAAGCAUUUUGAGUUAUCCAUGAAGACUCUGCAGCUGGCUUACCCGGAGUUUGUGAAAGGAACAUGGAAUCAGCUUGCAGUUACCCUUGUUAAGUUUGGAUUGCGUGGGUUAAUGAAAGCUGCCGGCAGUCCUCAGGCCUCCUUAGAGGCUGAUAGCCAGGACUUUUCUUUAGACUGAGAGAGUGUCUUUGAACCUCAGUCUCCACAUCUGUACAAGCUACAGACAGAGAGAGACAGAAAGGUCUUCCUUCCAUUGGUUCACUCCCCAAAUGGCCGCCACGGCUGGCGCUGCGCUGAUCCGAAGCCAGGAGCCAGGUACUUCUUCCUGGUCUCCCAUGCGGGUGCAGGGCCCAAGCACUUGGGCCAUCCUCCACUGACUUCCCAGGCCACAGCAGAGAGCUGGACUGGAAGAGGAGCAACCGGGACUAGAACCCAGUGCCUGUAUGAGAUGCCGGCACCGCAGGCAGAGGAUUAACCAAGUGAGCCACGGCGCCGGCCCCUGGUGCAUAUUUCUACGCUAGGAAGUUCCUGCUUCCAGAACACAGCACAUCUCCAAAACAUUGAAUCCAGUUUGUUUCAUUGCAUGCUCAGCCCAUAAAAAGAGUAAUGCAUAAGAAAACAUGUUCUGCAUGAUCAGUUAGCGGCUUUUCUUGGAUCUUAGCGUUAGAAUCGUUCAGCCUCUAAGGCAUCACUUUAAAGUCUGUACUGACUCCACAAACAGCAGUUUUCACAUUUUCUUAAUCUGAGCAACAGAUUAUGGAGUUAAGUGAGGCAAGAAAUUCCUUGAUCAAUAAAUGGAGAUGGAGUCGUAAUGAAAACACAAUUUUAAAAGUCUCCUCAACAGAGAAGUAGUUAUCUAAAUCCUCAAUAAGCAUCAAGGCCCUUCUUUGUUUAAGCAGUAUGUUGGAAAGUGACACAGGUUUGGGAUGCAGUGUAAGAUAGGUUCAACAGACUAACAGGAUGGCUGGGAGUCUCUAAGGCUCUCUCUGUCCCCUGGUGUUUGUAACCCUUCUCCCCGCCUUGCAAUGCAUGCACAUAAGCCAAGCACAACCAACUGUGGCACACGAAGGCCAGGAACUAGUACGCUGGGUAAGAGAUGUUCAGAGUUCAGGGUAUGCAAGAGGGGAGAGAACACCAGGUGGGGCUGCGGGGGACGGAGUACAAGCAAACCUGAGUAAGAGAUUUAAGAUGAAAUAGCCAGGACUGGAAAAAUAAUUUGGCGAAAUUCAGGCUGGGUAACGGUGAAAAGCUGAUUUGGGAAGACUUCAGGACUUGGCGGUGAGGACCUAAGACCACUGGGACAGAACAGCUUUUGGGGGAUGCGGCGCAGCUCAGUUUCUUACCUUGAGUUGCUGAAGUGGAAGGGAGAGGAGCCGGCUCUGGCCUUGACAGAAGGGAUGGGCCAGCAGUUGAAAUAAUGUUACGUGAACUAUCUGACAAGUUUGCUGAGAGAGUCAGGCUGACGGUGGGAGUGGUGUAACUGAUAGCAGAAAUGCGAAGCAAUCAGAGCUUGAACAGCCUGUGCAGAUGGGCUCACACAGAACCUUAGCAGGCAGGGAACAAAAGGUCACUAAGUUACAGAGAAUGUUACUAAAAAGCAGGGGCCUCUAAAAGGAAUUUAGGAUUAUCCAGUAAUGACGAAUUUGUGUUCUGAAAUCGCUACGGCCCGGAAUGCCUCCCAAGGCUCUUGGAGGGCACUGGAGUCCAGGCCAAGAGACAAGGAUAAGGAACCAACUCAGAGAAACAGGAAAUAAUGAAGUUCAAAGCCUGCCAGACAAAGGAGCACGCAGUGGUCUCGAGACACGAAGAUGAGCUCCCAGCGGCCACCCAAGUCACUUUGCAAACGAUGCUGAAUUCAAAACUGCCCAAAAAGUGCUUGGAAAAACCCCUGGCUGGGUUUCAGGGGCUUCUGGAGAAACGCCCAAUGUAAUAUGCAACUUAAACUUCCUGGGAAUAAUUCAUAAAACUGCGCUAACACCCAUCUGGCAUUAAAGAAAGUCAGGUUCUUGUUACUUCGUUA